GAAUAUUAGUCAAUGCUCGAAAGAGUGAACUAGCUAACUGAAAUCAAUUAUAAUAAUUGAUAACAUAAGGGAAAAUAAUGAUAUUACCUUAUUAUUAGUGUCGUCCAAAUCUGGUGCCAGAAGACUCGGUAAGGCCAGAGACACAAACGUUAAUCGUCUUAAUCAGGCGUAAAGGGUUUGUAGGCGGCUUUAAAAUGUAUUUAUUUAUAAAUAAGUACAGAAUAAAAGCUAGAAUCAAAUAGAGGAUAUAUGAAAUAAUGCUUAGAGUAGGUCUGAUAUCCAUAGAUACUAAGUAGAAUAUUAAAGGCGAAAGCUUUUUUCCAUUAAUGAUUGACGCUCAGAAACGAAGGUGAGGAUAGGAAAUAGGAUUAGAUACCCAGAAUACCCCUCUCUGUCAACGAUGAAUGGUAGUUAUUAGUAAAAAUUUAUUAAUGGCAAUGUUAACACGAUAACCAUUCCGCCUUGUGAGUACAACUGCAAAGUUGAAAACAAAAAAAUUAGUCGGUUUCGGAGCAAACGAAGUGAAGCAUGUUAUUUAAUUC
rnacentral:rRNA from 1 species